rnacentral:rRNA from 1 species
UACGUAGGGCGCAAGCGUUAUCCGGAAUUAUUGGGCGUAAAGAGCUCGUAGGCGGUUUGUCGCGGUCUGCCGUGAAAGUCCCGGGGCUCAACUCCGGAUCUGCGGUGGGUACGGGCAGACUAGAGGUGAUGUAGGGGAGACUGGAAUUCCUGGUGUAGCGGUGAAAUGCGCAGAUAUCAGGAGGAACACCGAUGGCGAAGGCAGGUCUCUGGGCGAUUAAACUGACG